AAAGAAAGAGCUCCGUUGUAUGGAAGACUAGUGAUUUUGUUGUUCUACUUUGGAUGUAACAAGGAAUCACUAAUCAUCCUACAAAGGGACUCGCAUAUCGUCGGCUACCUGGUG
rnacentral:pre_miRNA from 1 species